rnacentral:rRNA from 1 species
CAGCAGCCGCGGGAAUACGUAGGGGGCAAGCGUUAUCCGGAAUUACUGGGUGUAAAGGGAGCGUAGACGGUUAAACAAGUCUGAAGUGAAAUACCGGGGCUCAACCCCGGAGCUGCUUUGGGAACUGUAGGACUGGAGUGUCGGAGGGGUAAGCGGAAUUCCCAGUGUAGCGGUGAAAUGCGUAGAUAUUGGGAGGAACACCGGCGGCGAAGGCGGCUUACUGGACGACAACUGACGUUGAGGCUCGAAGGCGUGGGUAGCAAACAGGAUUAGAUACCCGUGUAGUCCCUGUCUCUUAUAC